rnacentral:lncRNA from 1 species
GUAGAUAAGGUUGCAGAGGGUUUAGCCAAUAGAGUAAGGCAGAAGCCUAGCCAAUGGGAUCACAGGGGCGUAGCUGAUGGGAUCACAGGGUCGUAGCCGAUGGGAGAUGAUGGAGGCGUAGCUGAUGGAGUCAGCCGAUGCGAGCAGGAGGGUUCUAGCUGAUUGGAAAUGUUGGAGGUUCGGCCGAUGAGGAGAAGGUUUUGGCCGGUAGAGGCCAAGUUCAUUUUUGACUCCUGUGCGAGUCAUUGUUAUUUAGAAAGUUUGUUUCUUUAGAGAUAGAUCUUAUGAUUUGUCGUAACUGACUAGGAUUAGAAAUCUUGAUGUAUAGGGCAUAAAUAGGGGGUCUUGUAAGGUCUAGAAAGACAUACACAUCACAAUCAAUACAAAUCUACUAUUUUCGCAAUUUACUUUCAAGUCGGCGACUUCCCCAUCGUUUUCUUUUCUUCACGAGUUCUUCCAGCUAGUUGGGCUGCAUAGCUUUGAUCUCCAGCUAGACUGUAAGUUCCACAUUUACCGAAUACUUCCUAGGCUUUAACUUCGGGCGCAUCGCUAUCAUUUCGUCUAAAUUUAUUCACAAGUUAUUGAUAUUUACUUAGAUCUGCAAGUUUUAUUUGUUAAAUCUUGUUGUUUUAGUUUUUAUCACGGUUAUCCAGCUUAGAACACGUUCCAAUCAGCUUUUUCUGUAUUUUCUCAUACUAAUCUACUGUCACACAGCCGGUUAGAUCUGUUUUAAGUGUUGUUCACGCAGUACUAUUUAGGUUGUACUUUAUGCUUCCUUUACAUCUACUACAUCCAC